rnacentral:rRNA from 1 species
GACGUAGGGCGCGAGCGUUGUCCGGAUUUAUUGGGCGUAAAGAGCUCGUAGGCGGCUUGUCGCGUCGACCGUGAAAACUUGGGGCUCAACCCCAAGCCUGCGGUCGAUACGGGCAGGCUAGAGUUCGGUAGGGGAGACUGGAAUUCCUGGUGUAGCGGUGAAAUGCGUAGAUAUCAAGAGGAACACCUGAGGUGAAGACGGGUUGCUGGGCUGACACUGACGCUGAGGCGCGAAAGCCAGGGGAGCAAACGGG